rnacentral:rRNA from 1 species
UCGGCCAAUACCCGAUGCGUCUGAAGGUACCUCCAAAGGAAGCUCCGGCUAACUCCGUGCCAGCAGCCGCGGUAAUACGGAGGGAGCAAACGUUGUUCGGAUUUACUGGGUGUAAAGGGUGCGUAGGCGGCUACGUGUGUCAGAGGUGAAAGCUCACGGCUCAACCGUGGAACUGCCUUUGAAACUGCGUAGCUUGAGUCCGAGAGAGGAUGGUGGAAUUCCUGGUGUAACGGUGAAAUGUGCAGAUAUCAGGAAGAACACCGGUGGCGAAGGCGGCCAUCUGGCUCGGUACUGACGCUGAGGCACGAAAGCUAGGGUAUCGAACGGGAUUAGAUACCCCGGUAGUCCUAGCCGUAAACGAUGUCCACUAGGUGUCGGAGGUCCUACCCCUUCGGUGCCGGAGCUAACGCAUUAAGUGGACCACCUGGGGAGUACGCUCGCAAGGGUGAAACUCAAAGGAAUUGACGGGGGCCCGCACAAGCGGUGGAGCAUGUGGUUUAAUUCGAUGCAACGCGAAGAACCUUACCUGGGCUUGACAUGCAGGGGACAGGUGUAGAGAUAUACCCUUCUUCGGACUCCUGUACAGGUGCUGCAUGGCUGUCGUCAGCUCGUGUCGUGAAAUGUUGGGUUAAGUCCCGCAACGAGCGCAACCCUUGUCCUUAGUUGCCAGCACGUCAUGGUGGGAACUCUAGGGAGACUGCCGGUGACAAACCGGAGGAAGGUGGGGACGACGUCAAGUCAUCAUGGCCCUUACGUCCAGGGCUACACACGUGCUACAAUGGCACAUACAGAGGGCAGCGAACCCGCGAGGGGAAGCCAAUCCCAAAAAGUGUGCCUCAGUUCGGAUCGCAGUCUGCAACUCGACUGCGUGAAGUCGGAAUCGCUAGUAAUCGCGGAUCAGCAUGCCGCGGUGAAUCCGUUC